GAUGAACGCUGGCGGCGUGCCUAAUACAUGCAAGUCGAGCGAACAGACGAGGAGCUUGCUCCUCUGACGUUAGCGGCGGACGGGUGAGUAACACGUGGAUAACCUACCUAUAAGACUGGGAUAACUUCGGGAAACCGGAGCUAAUACCGGAUAAUAUAUUGAACCGCAUGGUUCAAUAGUGAAAGACGGUUUUGCUGUCACUUAUAGAUGGAUCCGCGCCGCAUUAGGUAGUUGGUAAGGUAACGGCUUACCGAGGCAACGAUGGGUAGCCGACCUGAGUGCGUGAUCGGCCACCUUGGAGCUGGGACGCGGUCCUGGGUCCUACGGGAGGCACCAGUAGCGAAUCUUCCGCAAUGGGCGAAAACCUGACGGAGCAGCGCCGCGUGUGUUAUGAAGGUCUUCGGUUCGUAAAACUCUCUUAUUAGUGAAAAACAAAUGUGGACGUAACUAUGCCCGGCUUGACGGUACCUGAUCAGAAAGCCCCGGCUAACUACGUG
rnacentral:rRNA from 1 species